GAUGAACGCUGGCGGCGUGCUUAACACAUGCAAGUCGAGCGAGUGAGUUCUUCGGAACGAUCUAGCGGCGGACGGGUGAGUAACACGUGGGCAACCUGCCUCAUAGAGGGGAAUAGCCUCCCGAAAGGGAGAUUAAUACCGCAUAAAAUUAUCGAGUGGCAUCACAUGAUAAUCAAAGAAGUAAUCCGCCAUGAGAUGGGCCCGCGGCGCAUUAGCUAGUUGGUGAGGUAACGGCUCACCAAGGCGACGAUGCGUAGCCGACCUGAGAGGGUGAUCGGCCACAUUGGGACUGAGACACGGCCCAGACUCCUACGGGAGGCAGCAGUGGGGAGUAUUGCACAAUGGGGGAAACCCUGAUGCAGCAACGCCGCGUGAGUGAUGAAGGUCUUCGGAUUGUAAAGCUCUGUCUUUGGGGACGAUAAUGACGGUACCCAAGGAGGAAGCCACGGCUAACUACGUGCCAGCCGCCGCGGUAA
rnacentral:rRNA from 1 species